UUGGACAAUGGGCGCAAGCCUGAUCCAGCAAUGCCGCGUGAGUGAAGAAGGCCUUCGGGUUGUAAAGCUCUUUCAGUUGAGAAGAAAAGAUUGUAACUAAUAAUUGCGAUCCAUGACGGUAUCAACAGAAGAAGCACCGGCUAACUACGUGCCAGCAGCCGCGGUAAUAAGGGC
rnacentral:rRNA from 1 species